CACUUCGGGUGGGAACUCCAGGGAGACUGCCGGUGAUAAACCGGAGGAAGGUGGGGACGACGUCAAGUCAUCAUGGCCCUUACGAGUAGGGCUACACACGUGCUACAAUGGCGUAUACAGAGGGCUGCCAACCAGCGAUGGUGAGCGAAUCCCACAAAGUACGUCGUAGUCCGGAUUGGAGUCUGCAACUCGACUCCAUGAAGUCGGAAUCGCUUGUAAUCGUGGAUCAGAAUGCCACGGUGAAUACGUUCCCGGGCCUUGUACACACCGCCCGUCACACCAUGGGAGUGGGCUGCACCAGAAGUAGAUAGCUUAACCUUCGGGAGGGCGU
rnacentral:rRNA from 1 species